rnacentral:rRNA from 1 species
AUAACAACGGAGAGUUUGAUCCUGGCUCAGGAUGAACGCUAGCGACAGGCUUAACACAUGCAAGUCGAGGGGCAGCGGGGGAGUAGCAAUAC